UGAAAAGGCAGUUUAAGUGAAACAUGAAAAUAGAAAAAGGAAAUGUGUAAUGCCAUUCAAAUGGGCUGGCAAACACAUGAAAAUUACCAGAUGGACAGCUCAGAGAAUGAGGUCCUGCCUUGGUCACUGAAUCGCAGCCACCCAAUCAAUGGAGACUGUGUUUCCUGAAGGCCGACAUAGUAGCUCAUUUAAGAAACUCUGUGUAACCCCUGCUGCAUUGAAGCAUCCAGAAUUC
rnacentral:lncRNA from 1 species